rnacentral:lncRNA from 1 species
AAAAGUAUAGCCAAAUCCGUGAAAGGAAUCAGAGCUUUGCAUGAGGGAGAUACAUUCCUUAAUUUAUAAUAAUUUCUAACAUUUUGUAACAGCAAGUUUUAAUAACACAAAAAUCCGUAUUUUCAUGCCAGUACCGGAGUACUGGCUACUGGGCUGGUGAUACCCUCGGGGACUAACAGUCCACCAGCAGAGGCAUCAACCCA